rnacentral:rRNA from 1 species
AUUGAACGCUGGCGGCAGGCCUAACACAUGCAAGUCGAGCGGCUGCACGGAGCUUGCUCCUGGUUUCAGCGGCGGACGGGUGAGUAAUGCCUAGGAAUAUGCCUGGUCGUGGGGGAUAACGUCCGGAAACGGGCGCUAAUACCGCAUACGUCCUGAGGGAGAAAGUGGGGGAUCUUCGGACCUCACGCUAUUAGAUUAGCCUAAGUCGGAUUUGCUAGUUGGUGGGGUAAAGGCCUACCAAGGCAACGAUCCGUAACUGGUCUGAGAGGAUGAUCAGGCAAAAUGGGACUGAGAAACGGGCCAGACGCCUACGGGAGGGAGGAGGGGGGAAAUUUGGAAAAUGGGGGGAAAGCCUAUACAAGCAAUGCGGGGGGGGGAAGAAGGAGUUAGGGUUGGAAAGCGACUUUAGGAGGGAAGAAAGGGAGGGAGUUAAUACAGUGCUGUAAUGACGGUACCAAAAGAAGAAGCACCGGCUAACUACGUG